GCCAGGGUGGUUCAGUGGUUUCACCACUGGGCUAUGUCCCAGGAGAACUGAGUUCAAAUCCCUGCUCAGGCA